GCGAGUGAAGCGGCAAAAGCUCAAAUUUGAAAUCUAGCACUUUCAGUGUUCGAGUUGUAAUUUGAAGAAGGUAACUUUGGAAUUGGCUCUUGUCUAUGUUCCUUGGAACAGGACGUCACAGAGGGUGAGAAUCCCGUGCGAUGAGAUGUCCAAUUCUAUGUAAAGUGCUUUCGAAGAGUCGAGUUGUUUGGGAAUGCAGCUCUAAGUGGGUGGUAAAUUCCAUCUAAAGCUAAAUAUUGGCGAGAGACCGAUAGCGAACAAGUACAGUGAUGGAAAGAUGAAAAGAACUUUGAAAAGAGAGUGAAAAAGUACGUGAAAUUGUUGAAAGGGAAGGGCUUGAGAUCAGACUUGGUAUUUUGUGUUCCUUAUUCUUUUUGGAUUUGGUUCCUCACAGCUUACCGGGCCAGCAUCGGUUUGGAUGGUAGGAUAAUGACAUUGGAAUGUAGCUUUGCUUCGGUGAAGUGUUAUAGACUUUGUUGAUACUGCCUAUCUAGACCGAGGACUGCGUCUUUGACUAGGAUGCUGGCGUAAUGAUCUUAAGCCGCCCGUCUUGAAACACGGA
rnacentral:rRNA from 1 species